rnacentral:rRNA from 1 species
CGCCUACCAUGCAAGUCGAACGGAGUCAAGAGGAGCUUGCUUUUCUUGACUUAGUGGCGCAACGGGUGAGUAACGCGUGAGUAUCCUGCCCUGGAGUGGGGGACAACAGUUGGAAACGACUGCUAAUACCGCAUAAGCCCACGGAUUCGCAUGGAUCUGCGGGAAAAGGAUUUAUUCGCUUCAGGAUGGACUCGCGUCCAAUUAGCUAGUUGGUGAGGUAACGGCCCACCAAGGCGACGAUUGGUGGCCGGACUGAGAGGUUGAACGGCCACAUUGGGACUGAGACACGGCCCAGACUCCUACGGGAGGCAGCAGUGGGGGAUAUUGCACAAUGGGGGAAACCCUGAUGCAGCGACGCCGCGUGGAGGAAGAAGGUUUUCGGACUGUAAACUCCUGUCGUUAGGGACGAUAAUGACGGUACCUAACAAGAAAGCACCGGCUAACUACGUGCCAGCAGCCGCGGUAAAACGUAGGGUGCAAGCGUUGUCCGGAAUUACUGGGUGUAAAGGGAGCGCAGGCGGACCGGCAAGUUGGAAGUGAAAACUAUGGGCUCUACCCAUAAAUUGCUUUCAAAACUGCUGGCCUUGAGUAGUGCAGAGGUAGGUGGAAUUCCCGGUGUAGCGGUGGAAUGCGUAGAUAUCGGGAGGAACACCAGUGGCGAAGGCGACCUACUGGGCACCAACUGACGCUGAGGCUCGAAAGCAUGGGUAGCAAACAGGAUUAGAUACCCUGGUAGUCCAUGCCGUAAACGAUGAUUACUAGGUGUUGGAGGAUUGACCCCUUCAGUGCCGCAGUUAACACAAUAAGUAAUCCACCUGGGGAGUACGACCGCAAGGUUGA